CAGCCGCCGCGGGAAUACGAAGGGUGCAAGCGUUAAUCGGAAUUACUGGGCGUAAAGCGUGCGUAGGCGGUUUGUUAAGUCUGUUGUGAAAUCCCCGGGCUCAACCUGGGAAUGGCAAUGGAUACUGGCAAGCUAGAGUGUGUCAGAGGAUGGUGGAAUUCCCGGUGUAGCGGUGAAAUGCGUAGAGAUCGGGAGGAACAUCAGUGGCGAAGGCGGCCAUCUGGGACAACACUGACGCUGAGGCAUGAAAGCGUGGGGAGCAAACAGGAUUAGAUACCCCCGUAGUCCCUGUCUCUUAUAC
rnacentral:rRNA from 1 species